UACGGGGGGGGGCAAGCGUUUGUUCGGAAUUACUGGGCGUAAAGGGCUCGUAGGCGGCCAACUAAGUCAGACGUGAAAAUCCCCCAGGCUCAACCUGGGGAACUGCGUCUGAUACUGGAUGGCUUGAAUUCGGGGAGAGGAGCAGAAUUCCAGGUUGUAGCGGUGAAAAUGCAUAGAUAUCUGGAGGAAUACCGGUGGCGAAAGGCGGCAUCCUGGACCCGACAUUUGACGCUGAGGGAGCGAAAAAGCUAGGGGGGGAGCAAAAACGGGGGAUUUAAGA
rnacentral:rRNA from 1 species